UCAAGAAGAACCUAUCAAGAUAUAUGAGGAUAAUCAAGGAUGCCUUGCAUUAGCGCAAACAGAAAGAGUGAACCCAAGAACCAAGCACAUUGAUGUCAAGCAUCACUUCCUGAGGGAUCUACAGGAACAAGGUCUUAUAGAGUUGAACUAUUGCCCAACGGAAGAUAUGACAGCUGAUAUCAUGACUAAACCUCUUACCAGAGAGAGACAUUGGAGACUUACGUCAAAGAUGGGUCUAACUGAAGAAACCCAGUCUGUUGAGAAGGGGUGUUGAAAUAUGUACAACAGACUAUGGGUUUGUUUAUAUGCAUGUAGUUACCGUACAGGGGCAGCAGAUGGCGCUGUAUACUUACAGAGGUGUAGUGUUUGUCUGUUGCAUAUGUUUUGUACUUGUUUGUUUUACCUCACAUGUGUGUUCUAGAAAGAGUCUCUGAGAGAAGGAGAUGAGCUGAUGAUACUGAAACUUGUUGUUAUAUUGAUCCUGCUAUUCAGUACUAUAUAAAGAAGAUAUACAUCUCAAGUCUCGUUCUGUCUGUAUACAAGACCUGUUCCAGCGAGCUUCUUCGGAUUUCUGAUGGCCAGCCACGAACUGUACCCCUGAUGAAGUCCUUAUAGGACGAAACGCGUUGGAUUUAUGAAAGUAUUUAUGAAGUGUUACAUAUGUACAAAUGAAUAAUGUGCUUAUGAACUAUUAUACUUCUGUAUGAUUUUAAUGUUUAAUUAAAAAAUACUGCUAU